AUUGAACGCUGGCAGCAGGCCUAACACAUGCAAGUCGAGCGGAUGAAGGGAGCUUGCUCCUGGAUUCAGCGGCGGACGGGUGAGUAAUGCCUAGGAAUCUGCCUGGUAGUGGGGGAUAACGUCCGGAAACGGGCGCUAAUACCGCAUACGUCCUGAGGGAGAAAGUGGGGGAUCUUCGGACCUCACGCUAUCAGAUGAGCCUAGGUCGGAUUAGCUAGUUGGUGGGGUAAAGGCCUACCAAGGCGACGAUCCGUAACUGGUCUGAGAGGAUGAUCAGUCACACUGGAACUGAGACACGGUCCAUACUCCUACGGGAGGCAGCAGUGGGGAAUAUUGGACAAUGGGCGAAAGCCUGAUCCAGCCAUGCCGCGUGUGUGAAGAAGGUCUUCGGAUUGUAAAGCACUUUAAGUUGGGAGGAAGGGCAGUAAGUUAAUACCUUGCUGUUUUGACGUUACCAACAGAAUAAGCACCGGCUAACUUCGUG
rnacentral:rRNA from 1 species